rnacentral:rRNA from 1 species
UACAGAGGGUGCAAGCGUUAAUCGGAAUUACUGGGCGUAAAGCGUGCGUAGACGGUUAUGUAAGUCGGGUGUGAAAGCCCCCGGGCUCAACCUGGGAAUUGCAUUCGAGACUGUGUAGCUAGGGUACGGAAGAGGGAAGCGGAAUUUCAGGUGUAGCGGUGAAAUGCGUAGAUAUCUGAAGGAACACCAGUGGCGAAGGCGGCUCUCUGGAACGCAACUGACGCUGAGACGCGAAAGCGUGGGGAGCAAACAGG